ACGCUCGACACCACGGGAGCAGCAGUGGGGAAUAUUGCACAAUGGGGGAAACCCUGAUGCAGCGACGCCGCGUGGAGGAAGAAGGUCUUCGGAUUGUAAACUCCUGUUGUUGGGGAAAAAGAGGAUGGUACCCAACAAGGAAGUGACGGCUAACUACGUGCCAGCAGCCGACGGUAAUCUGAGCGGGCUGGCAAGGC
rnacentral:rRNA from 1 species